UACAGAGGUCUCAAGCGUUGUUCGGAUUCAUUGGGCGUAAAGGGUGCGUAGGUGGCGCGCUAAGUCAGGUGUGAAAUUUCGGAGCUUAACUCCGAAACUGCAUUUGAUACUGGCGUGCUUGAGGACUGGAGAGGAGACUGGAAUUCACGGUGUAGCAGUGAAAUGCGUAGAUAUCGUGAGGAAGACCAGUGGCGAAGGCGGGUCUCUGGACAGUUCCUGACACUGAGGCACGAAGGCUAGGGGAGCAAACGGG
rnacentral:rRNA from 1 species